UAAUUUGUUCAAGGCAUGUUAUUAUCUAAUUAUGACAGAUUCAUAUCUAACUGCUCAGAAUCAUUCAUUAUCAUAAGUCCGACUACAUCAUUGACACUUAUAAAAUAUAAUUGGAAGAAAAGGUUCAUCAAAUUAUGAU
rnacentral:pre_miRNA from 1 species